rnacentral:rRNA from 1 species
AGAGUUUGAUCCUGGCUCAGGACUAACGCCGGCGGCGUGCCUAACACAUGCAAGUCGAACGAAGUAGCAAUACUUAGUGGCAGACGGGUGAGUAACACGUAGUCAACCUACCUUUUAGUGGGGGAUAACUAGCCGAAAGGUUAGCUAAUACCGCAUGUGAUCGUCGAGUGGCAUCAUUUGACGAUCAAAGCAGCAAUGCGCUAAGAGACGGGACUGCGUCCCAUUAGUUAGUUGGUGGGGUAACGGCCUACCAAGACUCCGAUGGGUAGCUGGCUUGAGAGAGCGACCAGCCACACUGGAACUGAGACACGGUCCAGACUCCUACGGGAGGCAGCAGUGAGGAAUUUUCCGCAAUGGGGGCAACCCUGACGGAGCGACGCCGCGUGUGGGAAGAAGGCCUUCGGGUCGUAAACCACUGUCGAGGGGGACGAUAUUGACGGUACCCCUGGAGGAAGCCCCGGCUAACUACGUGCCAGCAGCCGCGGUAAUAC